rnacentral:rRNA from 1 species
GUGCCAGCAGCCGCGGUAAGACAGAGGGUGCAAACGUUGUUCGGAAUUACUGGGCGUAAAGCGCAUGUAGGCUGCUCUGCAGGUCGGAUGUGAAAUCCCUCGGCUCAACCAAGGAAGUGCAUUCGAAACCGCAGAGCUAGAGUCCCGGAGAGGAAGGUGGAAUUCUCGGUGUAGAGGUGAAAUUCGUAGAUAUCGAGAGGAACACCGGUGGCGAAAGCGGCCUUCUGGACGAGGACUGACGCUGAGAUGCGAAAGCGUGGGGAGCAAACAGGAUUAGAUACCCUGGUAGUCC